rnacentral:lncRNA from 1 species
UGGAAAUGUGUUUUAAAGUGUAUUUUGGACUAAAUUGAAUGAAUAGAUGAUUGAAUAAGUUAAUUUUGAAUAUAUUUAGAUCAAGAAAGGAGAAAUACGAACUUAGAUCGGGGAAAGAAUAAAGUUACGGAAUAGUUGACUCGAUUCGCCGUUUUAGCAUCUGAAGUAAGUUCGUAUGUUAUAAUUUCAUUUCAAAUGUAUUAAUAUGCU